rnacentral:rRNA from 1 species
UACGUAGGGGCCGAGCGUUGUCCGGAGUUAUUGGGCGUAAAGCGCGCGCAGGCGGCUUCGCGCGCCCGACGUGAAAGCCCCCGGCUUAACCGGGGAGAGUCGUUGGGGACGGCGGAGCUUGAGGGCGGGAGAGGUCGGUGGAAUUCCCGGUGUAGUGGUGAAAUGCGUAGAGAUCGGGAGGAACACCUGUGGCGAAGGCGGCCGACUGGGCCGACCCUGACGCUGAGGAGCGAAAGCGUGGGGAGCGAACAGG